ensembl:lncRNA
UCUCUCCUGGGUAGAACUCCAACCUCUUCCCUGCUUCCUGUUCUAAGUUAACGACAAGAAGGGGCCUGCUGGGUUCUAUUCUUCACUUGACUGAAUCCCGGGAAGUUCCAUCCAAUUUCAAGAAUAUCCCUGGGAGGGAGCCCAACAGACAGAGGGUCAAUGAGCCUCAGACCAGGACUAUCACUGGAGGGAAGGUGGGUGCUGCUUUCCGGCUAUCUCUGACGGGAGAAUAACCAAGAAACUGAGGUCCUGCAAGACAUGGGGACCUGGGGCAGCAUGUCCUCCUCCUCCAGGUGGUUCCGGGGCUCAGUGUUGGGGUGAGGCCUGACGUGAAGGAGGCUGGGGUUGUGGCCUGCAGUGUGAGCCUUUGGGCAAAGAGCUUUGGGGGUUUAGGUUGUGUGUUCUUUCCUUUGAGCACCAUGGAGGCUUUUUCAGGAACUUGCAGUUAGUGGUGUGGAGAGAAGAUGAAAUGGAGGACACUUCAGAGGUGAUCUGUGAUCUAUUUAAUAUAGACUCCAGGUGCGAGAAAGAAAGCUCAGCAGGAGGAGUGAGGAGGCCUCAUGACCAGACAGAGGAUUGGCUGACUUCAGGAGGAGGAGGCAGGGGACUCCUGUGUUGGGAGUUGAGAGUGGGGUUUAGUCGGGGUUGGCAAUGGUGCCCAUGGGGAGAUAUUACCUCAGUCUACAGAAAGGACGUACUGGAGGGCACAGUGGGACUCAGUGGGAGAUGAGUCUGGAUGGGUAAUUGUGGCUGGAUUACGCAUAAAGGAGUACAUUUUUCUUCAAUUUAAAAAGUGCGUUUUUUUUUUUAUUAGUAGAGGUACCUGAAAAUAAAAGAGAAUACAUUCCCUAAUAAGGAAAAUGUCCAAGCCACAUGCAUGUCAUGUUUUUAGGGGCACUGACACAUCGAUUCUCUGAAUUCCAUGCCUUCCUGUCUACCUUCAUUGUCGCUUCCCAAGUCCAGGCUGCUAUAACUCUUGUUUGUACUACGACAAUAACCUCCUACUGGUAUCCUUGCCUCAAUCUUUCUGUCCCCCAUGGUUUUGCCAGAAUGGGCUUUUGAAAAAGCGUAUCAAGUCAUGCCAGCUUUCACUUUAAAAAUCUUUGUCAGCCCAUUACCUGCAGGAUGAAUUCUAAACUCCUUAGGAUGGCACUAGUUUUAAAAAACUAGCCCCGUUUUAGAGAAUUCUGAGAAAACGAGGCAGUUUUGGCAUUGAUUUAGAAUUUUUCUGAACCCCCACUUAAAGACAGGUAGCUAGAUAGCAAAACCCAAACUCAUGAACAAUAUUUACAACAAACUAGGUGACAAGUAUCCUCACAAACCCCAGAAUACAGGGGGAUGAGGGCAAGUCACCUACGACACAGGGGGUGUCAUUCCUGUUUAAGGGAGAGAGCGGAGACAAGCCAUGGGAAGCUUUGCAAACUCACGAGCAGGAAAGCCUCUAAAUACACAACAGGUAUUCGCUGGAGGGCACUGCAGACCAAUCUGAGGACAGCAGCCAAAAACGAGCAGGUUUUUCUCACUCCAUCAGUGGGUGGGUACCAGGCACCUGCGGUAAGUCUGAAGGGGCGGCUGGAGCAGUUGAGCCCCUGGAACUGUUGACAUGAAACGGUCAGGGCUCCUGUCCAGGGAGGAGAAAGUGCUGGGAGUGGAAUAAAAAUUGAGCAGGACAGGGGAUGGCAACUGGACUUCUGGUGGUGAACACGAUGUAGUGUACAUGGAAGUCAGUUUAUAAUGAUGUACACCUGAAAUCUAUAUAACGUUAUAAACCAAUGUUUUGUUGUUAGUGCCGACAGUCAAUUCUGACUCCUGGCGACCCUACAACAGAGCAGAGACCUACCUGGUCUUUUUGCGCCAUCCUCUCACCUUUUGGUGCUGUAUCAACGCUCUGCUGUUAUUCGUACGGUUCGCAUGGCCAAUUUUUUCAGAAGUGGGUGACCAGGUCCUCCUUCUUAGUCUGUCUUAGUCUAGAAGCUCCACUGAAACCCGUCCACUAUGGAUGACCCUGCUGAUAUUUGAAAUACCAGUGGCAGAGCUUUCAGCAUCACAGUAACACUCAGCCGCCACCGUUUGACAACUGACAGAUGGGUGGUGUGGUUCCCUGACCAGGAAUCGAACCCAGGCCACCGUGGUGGUGAGAGUGCCAAAUCUUAAGCACUAGACCACCAGGGCUGGCUAAACCAAUGUUACCUCAAUUAAAAAAAAAUCUUUAACUUUCAAAAUAAGCAUAAUUUUAUACUCGUGGCAGCUCUGUGUCUGUGUCAGUAAGAGAAAAAGUCUACAUGAUGCCUUUUUAACAUGGAAGUACAUCACGCUUCAAGAAAAAAAAAAUAACAUUUCUGAAUUCCAGACACAUCUGAUCUAAUUUUCUUUUCAAGUCACGUACUGUUUUUGCCUAGCUGAUCAGUUGCUGGCCUACACUACAGUGACAUCUACUGGCACAGCUGGGACUGCGCACCCACAGGUAAACUUCAAAAAGACAGAGCGGACUUUAGGCUUUCCUCUAUGAUGACUGGCCGACAACACGAGUUAUAGCAGCCACAGGAUUUCUUAAGAACAGAUCAGGUGCUUUUGGCCUAAGAUCGUGCUUGUCACAUUAAAGAUGCUCCAAAAAUGUGUUGGAUGAUCAUGAACAUAACUGCCUACAGUCUAACCUUUUAAAAAGCAUGGAAUCUGAAAAAUACUCUGAGAGUGAUUUAAAUUAAAAAAAAAAGCUCUAAAGCAGAAAAAAGACUACUGAGCAGGAUAGGGACAAAUAGACAAAAGAUAGGGGAGAAAAAGUGACGGCAGGGGAGGGGACAGAAUCAGGAAACCUCACAAAGUUAGCCACCGUAUAUAUUUUUUAACACUAUGAAAACAACAGAAGGGGGAGCUCUGUGAAGUUAGAAAAGCUACUCUGAGCCAUGUUCCUUCUAAAAGUCGAGGAAUACUAAUUUCACGUAAAAUUGAGCAACAGGAAAGUAUUGAGGUCAAAGAAAUGUUUUAUAAAAAAGUGAAAAAAAAAAAAGAAUAACAUCCCUACAGACAAGGAAAAUACACCAAGAAAACAGACCCACAGGACAGGUCAAUCUUGUAAUCUUUUAUUUCAAAAUGAGCUGAAAGGCAUUAAGAAAAUGAUGCAAGACAUAAAAGAACCACAUAAAUCAGAAUUAUGAACUCAGAAAUGAGGUGACCAAACUCAGGAAAGGAUGAGAAAUGAAAGAAAAAGAAACCCACUUCAGAAUGAACUUAACUAGAAGGAAUAGGAGUGAAUUAACAAAACAGACAAUGCCUCAGGAAAAUGGCAGCAAAAAGUAUGAAAAAUCUAAAAAUAAAAAGGAAAUCAAGAAAGAGAUACGAUUCAAGGAGAAGUGACAGAUCUCGAAGAGGCAAAGGAGAUCCACAUACACAUAACAGAAGUCCCUGAAGAAGAAACCAGAGGGAGUAGAGCAAACAGAAACCCAUACUUCAAGAAAACUUCCCGAAAUCAGAAAGAUUUGAAGCUACUUGAGAUUAUCAACCCAGAGUGACUAACACCAAGACAACUCGUGGGAAAGUUGUUGGACUUCAAAGUGAGAUAAAAAGCCUUUGGGUGUGUAGGCACAAACAGAAAGUGACUUAAAAGGCAAAGAGAAUUAGAUUAUCAUCGACUCUGACAGCAAUGCUUUGUGCAAGAAAAUGAAGUGGUUUGCCCAGGGCUCGCUCAUUCCAGCGCUGAGCACUGAAGGAGGAGUGCUCAUUUGUACAUGAAAAAGAAACACGUCAUGCUUUUUCAUCUCCCCAGAAAUCCACUCCGCCCCCAUCCUGCCUGUUUCUAUUGCUCCUGUAGUCCUUCUGACCUGUGAGGACAGAGUCCCCCAGCCAUCUCUUUUCCAGACCAAAUCCUCCUCAUUCCUGAUUCCUCAUUUAUUCAUUCAACAAGUGAUUUCUGAGCACCUGCUAUGAGCCAGCCCUGUGCUGAGCUCUGGGGCCAAAAGGACAAAGAAGCCCCAGUCGUCCAUCUCAUGGAGUCCUCUGUGGGGAAGACCUGGAUGAGAUGCGCCAUGUCCAUUCUGGAGGCUGGUAUCCCAGUGUUCAAGGGGCAGACUGCAGGCCAAAGGGGCAGGGUUGGAGUGACUCUGCAGCUCCCCAGGCCACUGUAAGCCUCUGCUUCCUUAUCUGUGAAAUGGGCCAACAACUGAGCCUUUCUCACGCGGACCAGGACCAUGUGUCUACUCAGGCCUGCUCUUGGCCAUCCAAGGGGCCUGCUGUUGGGGUGGGAGCCCACUGAGGAAAGAGACAGUCCCUCCCCGAACCCCCAUGGCACUAAGGACCGUGCCUGGGGGGCAUCUGGAAGGCACCAUGGAGGAAGCCUCUGGGUUGUGUUGUUGGGGUUCCCCAGGAUUCUACUGAGGACACAGGCAUCAAAGAAGGCCCAAAGCAAAACCAUAGAGAUUUACAGAAAUUCUCUGUGAGCAGGAGAUGAGUAAAGAGCUCGUAGCCUCACGAAGAAUGCAAACUGGGGAAGAAAUGAAGUGUCGCGACAUGUCUUCUGGGAAAAGAAGGUGGUCAGGAUGGGCAGUGGGAGCCUCACCUGUUAGUAGGGGGUCAGAGGGCAACAUCAGGGACAGUAGGGGAGGGAGUGAGUAAAGAGGUCGGGGCCUGAGGGGCCCCCUUAGGUGCCAGGUGCCUAUGCACACGUCCCAACCCCAGAACCUCCAGCAGCCCUGUGGGCAGAGAACUCUCACCUCCACCAUUUACAGCCGAGGAGUCUGAGGCCC